UACGUAGGGGGCAAGCGUUGUCCGGAAUCAUUGGGCGUAAAGAGCGUGUAGGCGGCCCGAUAAGUCCGCUGUGAAAGUCCAGGGCUCAACCCUGGGAUGCCGGUGGAUACUGUCGGGCUCGAGUCCGGAAGAGGAGUGUGGAAUUCCUGGUGUAGCGGUGAAAUGCGCAGAUAUCAGGAGGAACACCAAUGGCGAAGGCAGGUCUCUGGGCAUUAACUGACGCUGAGGAGCGAAAGCAUGGGGAGCGAACAGG
rnacentral:rRNA from 1 species